ACAUACUUAUAGCUAUUUUCAGAAAAAAAUCGCCGUCCAUAGGUGCUAGGGGAUUUUCUCUACGGGUCAUUAAACUUGACGUAAAAAUUUGCAUUGUUACAUAGAAUUCGGAUUUUUUUGAUGGCGCUAACUGUGCACCUUGGUGACGUCAUCGGGUAUAUGUCAACAAGUUACAGCCGCCAUUUUUUUUAAACUCCAUGCAUCCUUUGGUUCGAAUUGCCAUUUUCCAAAAGAAUUAUCGAGAUGUGAACAAAGUUAGACUCUAGUUUCAUGGUAUGUGCCUAUAAGAUGGAUUGGUUGGAGGCAAGUACAUUUAUGUUGCUGUAGAUCUUUUCAAGGAUUUGUUCAGUUGUUGAGCCAGGUGGUAUUUGUUGAGGUGAUGCAUACUCUAAGCAUAAUGGCAGAAUCAAUGGACAUAUCAUCAGAAGAUGAAAGCUGCCCUAUCUGCGACGAAUUUUUAAAGAACGGAUCGCCCAUAGUUGUGAUACGUGAAAAGGGAGCAAAUAACAUCAACAGAGCCAGUGCACAAAGUCGAAUGUAACAGUGAAAUCUGGUGAUUCAGUUCAAAGAGACUGUAGAAGGGAUUUUAUAGACUUGAGAAAUGUAAAAACUGAUAAUUAUAGUGGAUAUGCAUGUGACUCUUUGACAACAAGAUCCAGUUGUACAACUUUUGAUUUUAAAUCUAAUUGUUUCUUCUGCACUCAUAAAUGUAAUAAAAUAUGUAGUGAAGUCCACAGAGUCGAACAAUUUAAUUUUACUGCAACUAUAAAAGAGUUAUGUAAUGUAAGAAAUGACUCGCAUGGUAAUGAGGUUCGUGCUAGGUUGGUAUCAGUCCUUGAUUUGCAGGCUGCUGAAGCAAUUUACCAUUAAGUGUGCAAUGUAAACUUUCGUACUUUAAGCAGUUGCCUGACAGGUUUGCAAAAGAUGAAAAAAAGCAAGAAAUCACCUGGAAGACCACAGUGCACAGAAUUGCUGGAAGGAUUUUAGGAUGUCAUUAACUACAUUGAAAGCAUUGAAGGGGCAGCACUAUUAGUCAAAGAAUUAGUUCAAGUCAUGGAAGAAACCUGUGGAGAGAGAGAGCUUACUCAAGUAAAUAUAUGAAAAAGAAAAUUAUUGAACAUUUUGGUGAUACAAUUACAUUUGUUUCUACUCAAGGCCAAGAAGACAAUAUCAUUAUGAAACAUACCGCAUCUGAUAUCUUAAGCAAAUUCACAAAAGAAAACUUUGGACUCUCAGAGGCAGAACAAAAACGUAAUAUUAUUUCAACAGCUGCAAAACUUAUUAAGUCUGAUAUUGCUGCUGUAGAUGCAUCAAAAACAUUUUAUCCUUCUGUUGGUAUUGUCCAGUCAGCAGAAAGGAACUACCAGACACAUUAGAUUUUCUGCUGUCGUCAAUGUUUUCAGGAAAGGACACUGAGAUAAAGAUUGCAGCGAAUGACCAGUCAGUUAUGCAGACCGAAGUCCUUAAUCGCACCAUUACAACUUGGUUUAGCAGUUCAGGUUCACCAUUUAUUUUCUUUCAGAUUUCUCGUAGAUGAACUUUACCAGAUGGGAUUUUCAUCUUCCUAAUCUGAGGUGCAACGUUUCCAAUCCAAUGCCGCAUUGUCACUAAAUGCUGUAUUCACAGGAUUUUUUCCAUGUCAGUUUCUUCGAUACGUUGCAGAUAAUGCAGACCACAACGUACGUACCCUAGAUGGCCAUGGAACAUUCCACGGUAUGGGUAUGGUUGCUUGCUUGUCACCAGUAUCAAAUGUUGAGUUACCAAUUCCAAGAGCAGAUGUGUCAAUUACAGAUUUAUCCAGAAUAUCAAGCAUUCUAACACGAUCCGAUUCAUUUUCCUAUUAAACAAAGAAGGCAGAAAACAGAGAAUUAUUAUACAACAAAUCACUGUUCUGACGUCACAAUUAUUACGUCAUGGCGUCAAACGGCAUAGCGGCGCGCUGGAGAAGAAACCGAUUGAAAGCGUGCAAAUAUUUAACGAAUGUCGUCAAGGAUGUACUUAAAAAUCCUUGGUAACGUGUUAGAAUCGAAAUAAUAUAUCUCAUUUAGUGAUUUGCUCUUGAAUAAAUCAUUGUUUGUCGUUCAGAUGCGUAUUAUUAUAUCACUCGGGCUGCGCACUCGUGAUAUAAUUCCUUCGCAUCUGAACUCUAAACAAUGAUUUAUUCAACGACAAAUCACUGGAUGAGAUAUAUUAUUUCUUAAUUAAUACCAAAUACUUCAAGGAUCCAGAAAA